rnacentral:rRNA from 1 species
AUUGAACGCUGGCGGCAUGCCUUACACAUGCAAGUCGAACGGCAGCAUAGAAGCUUGCUCCUGAUGGCGAGUGGCGAACGGGUGAGUAAUAUAUCGGAACGUGCCCAGUAGUGGGGGAUAACGCGUCGAAAGAUGUGCUAAUACCGCAUAAGCACUACGGUGGAAAGCGGGGGAUCGCAAGACCUCGCGCUAUUGGAGCGGCCGAUGUCCGAUUAGCUAGUUGGUGGGGUAAUAGCCCACCAAGGCAACGAUCGGUAGCUGGUCUGAGAGGAUGAUCAGCCACACUGGGACUGAGACACGGCCCAGACUCCUACGGGAGGCAGCAGUGGGGAAUUUUGGACAAUGGGCGCAAGCCUGAUCCAGCCAUGCCGCGUGAGUGAAGAAGGCCUUCGGGUUGUAAAGCUCUUUCGGCCGGAACGAAAUCGUCCGAGCUAAUACCUCGGAUGGAUGACGGUACCGGAAGAAGAAGCACCGGCUAACUACGUGCCAGCAGCCGCGGUAACAC